rnacentral:rRNA from 1 species
AGGACGAACGCUGGCGGCGUGCUUAAUGAAUGCGAGUCGAACGAGAACCAGUGGAGUGCUUGCACAAAGCUGGGGACAGUGGCGAACGGGUGAGUAACACGUGGGUAACCUGCCCUGUAGUCGGGCACAACAGUUGGAAACGACUGCUAAUUCCCGAUAGUCUGCAGUAGCGUUGGCUACUGUAGUAAAGGUUUUUCCGCUACAGGAUGGGCCCGCGGGCCAUUAGCUUGUUGGUGGGGUAACGGCCUACCAAGGCGACGAUGGCUAGCCGGUCUGAGAGGAUGAUCGGCCACACUGGGACUGAGACAUGGUCCAGACUCCUCCGGGAGUUAGCAUCAGGGAAUCUUGCGCAAUGGACGAAAGUCUGACGCAGCGACGCCCGCGUGAGGGAUGAAGGUCUGCGGAUCGUAAACCUCUGUAAGCAGGGACGAAUGCCCGACUUGGUCGGGAGUGACGGUACCUGCAAAGUAAGCUCCGGCUAACUACGUGCCAGCCGCGGC